GAUGAACGCUGGCGGCGUGCUUAACACAUGCAAGUCGAACGGAAAGGCUCCUGCUUGCAGGGGUACUCGAGUGGCGAACGGGUGAGUAACACGUGGGUGAUCUGCCCUGCACUUCGGGAUAAGCCUGGGAAACUGGGUCUAAUACCGGAUAUGACCACAUUUUGGAUGGUGUGGUGGAAAGUUUUUCGGUGUGGGAUGAGCUCGCGGCCUAUCAGCUUGUUGGUGGGGUAAUGGCCUACCAAGGCGUCGACGGGUAGCCGGCCUGAGAGGGUGUACGGCCACAUUGGGACUGGGAUACGGCCCAGACUCCUACGGGAGGCAGCAGCGGGGAAUAUUGCACAAUGGGCGGAAGCCUGAUGCAGCGACGCCGCGUGGGGGAUGACGGCCUUCGGGUUGUAAACUCCUUUCGCUAGGGACGAAGCGCAAGUGACGGUACCUGGAGAAGAAGCACCGGCUAACUACGUG
rnacentral:rRNA from 1 species